CACUUUGCCGUUUAAACAAAGUGGAAAUAAACGUAUAAAAGUCCAAAUCUACACAAAAUGUGCAAUCAAUUGGUAAGCUGACAUCACAUUUAUAUACAUGGCAUUUAGGAAACCUUUUUUGCAACAUUGGAACAGCAAGAUGUCCAGACUAGUGCAACAGUAUUUUUAAAUUUUUUGGAUCCUGCUGCUUCCAUCGUCAGCUAGGUAAUAUUUUCUUACUAAAGCAGUAAAUGAAACCAGAUGUAUUACCUACCACUCUUUAGUUAGUUUUAUGUUAAGUUAUUUAU